ACCGGCGCACGGGUGAGUAACACGUAUCCAACCUGCCCUUUACUCGGGGAUAGCCUUUCGAAAGAAAGAUUAAUACCCGAUAGCAUAAUGAUUCCGCAUGGUUUCAUUAUUAAAGGAUUCCGGUAAAGGAUGGGGAUGCGUUCCAUUAGGUUGUUGGUGAGGUAACGGCUCACCAAGCCUUCGAUGGAUAGGGGUUCUGAGAGGAAGGUCCCCCACAUUGGAACUGAGACACGGUCCAAACUCCUACGGGAGGCAGCAGUGAGGAAUAUUGGUCAAUGGGCGCUAGCCUGAACCAGCCAAGUAGCGUGAAGGAUGAAGGCUCUAUGGGUCGUAAACUUCUUUUAUAUAAGAAUAAAGUGCAGUAUGUAUACUGUUUUGUAUGUAUUAUAUGAAUAAGGAUCGGCUAACUCCGUGCCAGCAGCCGCGGUAAUACGGAGGAUCCGAGCGUUAUCCGGAUUUAUUGGGUUUAAAGGGAGCGUAGGUGGACUGGUAAGUCAGUUGUGAAAGUUUGCGGCUCAACCGUAAAAUUGCAGUUGAUACUGUCAGUCUUGAGUACAGUAGAGGUGGGCGGAAUUCGUGGUGUAGCGGUGAAAUGCUUAGAUAUCACGAAGAACUCCGAUUGCGAAGGCAGCUCACUGGACUGCAACUGACACUGAUGCUCGAAAGUGUGGGUAUCAAACAGGAUUAGAUACCCUGGUAGUCCACACAGUAAACGAUGAAUACUCGCUGUUUGCGAUAUACAGUAAGCGGCCAAGCGAAAGCAUUAAGUAUUCCACCUGGGGAGUACGCCGGCAACGGUGAAACUCAAAGGAAUUGACGGGGGCCCGCACAAGCGGAGGAACAUGUGGUUUAAUUCGAUGAUACGCGAGGAACCUUACCCGGGCUUAAAUUGCAGUGGAAUGAUGUGGAAACAUGUCAGUGAGCAAUCACCGCUGUGAAGGUGCUGCAUGGUUGUCGUCAGCUCGUGCCGUGAGGUGUCGGCUUAAGUGCCAUAACGAGCGCAACCCUUAUCUUCAGUUACUAACAGGUCAUGCUGAGGACUCUGGAGAGACUGCCGUCGUAAGAUGUGAGGAAGGCGGGGAUGACGUCAAAUCAGCACGGCCCUUACGUCCGGGGCUACACACGUGUUACAAUGGGGGGUACAGAAGGCAGCUAGCGGGUGACCGUAUGCUAAUCCCAAAAGCCUCUCUCAGUUCGGAUCGAAGUCUGCAACCCGACUUCGUGAAGCUGGAUUCGCUAGUAAUCGCGCAUCAGCCACGGCGCGGUGAAUACGUUCCCGGGCCUUGUACACACCGCCCGUCAAGCCAUGGGAGCCGGGGGUACUUGAAGUACGUAACCGCAAGGAUCGUCCUAGGGUAAAACUGGUGACUGGGGGCUAAGUCGUAACAAGGUAGCC
rnacentral:rRNA from 1 species